rnacentral:rRNA from 1 species
AUUCCAGCUCCAAUAGCGUAUAUUAAAGUUGUUGCAGUUAAAAAGCUCGUAGUUGGAUUUCUGGGCUGAGCGACCGGUCCGCCGCUGUGCGGUGUGUACUCGUGUUCGACUCGGCUCAUCCUUGUGGGGAAACGCAUUUCGGCAUUAGGUUGUCGAGGCGGGGAACCGCAUCGUUUACUGUGAAAAAAUUAGAGUGUUUAAAGCAGGCAAAUUGCUGUGAAUACAUUAGCAUGGAAUAAUAACAUAGGACUUUGGUUCUAUUUUGUUGGUUGGAGGCCAAGGUAAUGAUUAAUAGGGAUAGUUGGGGGUAUUCAUAUUUAAUUGUCAGAGGUGAAAUUCUUGGAUUUAUGAAAGAUGAACUCAUGCGAAAGCAUUUACCAAGAAUGUUUUCAUCG